rnacentral:rRNA from 1 species
GACGAACGCUGGCGGCGUGCUUAACACAUGCAAGUCGAACGGAAAGGCCUCUUUCGGGGGGUACUCGAGUGGCGAACGGGUGAGUAACACGUGAGUAACCUGCCCUUGACUUUGGGAUAACUUCAGGAAACUGGGGCUAAUACCGGAUAGGAGCUCCUGCUGCAUGGUGGGGGUUGGAAAGUUUCGGCGGUUGGGGAUGGACUCGCGGCUUAUCAGCUUGUUGGUGGGGUAGUGGCUUACCAAGGCUUUGACGGGUAGCCGGCCUGAGAGGGUGACCGGCCACAUUGGGACUGAGAUACGGCCCAGACUCCUACGGGAGGCAGCAGGGGGGAAGAUUGCACAAUGGGUGGAAGCCUGAUGCAGCAACGCCGUGUGCGGGAUGACGGCCUUCGGGUUGUAAACCGCUUUCGCUCAUGACGAAGCUUUGUGUGACGGUAGUGGGUAAAGAAGCACCGGCUAACUACGUG